UGCAUGCGAGUCGCGCGAGAAUGUAGCAAUACACGACAGCGGCGAAAGGGAGAGGACAACACGGGAAUCUGCCUUGGGGACGAGGAUAGCGUCGGGAAACUGACAGUAAUACUCGAUAAUGUUUGCGGACCAAAGGCGUGAUUCCGCCCCAAGAUGAGCCCGUGCCCCAUUAGCUAGUUGGCAGGGUAAUGGCCUACCAAGGCUGUGAUGGGUAGCUGGUGUGAGAGCACGACCAGCCUCACUGGCACUGAGACACUGGCCAGACACCUACGGGUGGCUGCAGUCGAGAAUCUUCGGCAAUGGACGCAAGUCUGACCGAGCGACGCCGCGUGCGGGAUGAAGGCCUUCGGGUUGUAAACCGCUGUCGUAGGGAAUCAAAUGUAUGAGGGUACUCCCUUGUAUUUGAGAGAUCCUAGGAGGAAGGAGAGGCUAAGCUCGUGCCAGCAGCCGCGGUAAGACGAGCUCUCCAAACGUUAUUCGGUAUUACUGGGCUUAAAGAGUUCGUAGGCGGCUCUGUACGUGAGAUGUGAAAGCCCUCGGCUUAACCGAGGAACUGCGUUUCAAACCACAGGGCUUGAGGGAGAUAGGGGUAAGCGGAACAGAUGGUGGAGCGGUGAAAUGCAUUGAU
rnacentral:rRNA from 1 species